GAAGGUAUAGCUCAGUGGUAGAGCACCUGCUUAGCAUGCAUGAGGUCCAGGGUUCAAUCCCCAGAAACUCCA
rfam:Camelus ferus unplaced genomic scaffold scaffold2600, whole genome shotgun sequence.